GACAUUUCCACAGCUAGGUUGACAAAAGGCAACUUACGUCAACCUAACCCUGUAAUGUAGACCAGGCCUUAGAGUCUACGAGACACUGUUCUUUUAAAACCUUAAGCAACCUAGCUUCAGUCCCCGUAUCAUCCAAAUUCCUUGAGCCAUGUCUGAAUCUGCAUUGUUAUUUCAUUGCGUUCACAUUGAAACUGACCCUUAGAGAAGCAUGAAUAGCAGAUUUAGAAACAACUAUGAUCAGAGUUCAUGGUUUUGCAAGACUCUACUGCCCUUGGAUAACCAAUCAUGUUUAUUUAGGCUCAGAGGUGGGCCUGGCGCCAGAGCCACACAGUUUGGAUCUAGACUAACUCCCCAACGGGAGGCAAUAUGCUCAUGUUGGUUCAAACUAAGUUCAGUAAUGCCAGAAUAACAAAUGAUUAAGACCUGUCCUGCUAUUGCUUCCAAAUAACCUCUCACUAGUAAAUGAUUGCACCAACCCCAUUACACAGUCACUGAUACUCAGACUGUUUAAUAUGCAUAGCAUAGGUUAAAUGGAAAUCUAACUAGAGUCAUACUUGUGCUGUAAAUCUUGAUGUACACAUACCUUUUACACUACCCCUCGCUGGCCAAUCCAAUUCCCACUGAAGCCAAUGGGAAUCUUGGCAUCAACGUCACUGGGGCCUGAAUCAAGCCCUAUCCUAUGUGAUUUUACAGCAGAUGGGAUACAAAUUCCUGUCCUAACUGGCAAGCACUUGCAUCAGCCAUGCAAAUCAAUGAAAGCUGAAGAUGGUAGGCACUUCUCAGGAUCAGGUUCUCCCUUAGGUGCAUCUAAAUACUUGGUUCAUGUUCCUGAUACUAAACCAAUUAUAGCCAAAGAGGGACAGUCUGGAAGAUUAGCCAUAAAUGCUGAGGUUUUGUGGAGCACAGGAGACUUACAGGGCAAAAUUUUCAACCGCUUGCUUGCAUGUACUAGUCAGAUAAUAGCACCUUCCCACAGGCAGAAUCUUGUGCCAUUACCCAGUUUUCAAACACGUUUGUAGGGCUUUUUAUUGGCCUUUCUGUUAGUGAGAGAGCUUUCAGAGCCACACAGAGCUCUUCUUCCACUAUGGGAAAGAUAAUCUGAGCAGCACAGAAAUGGAAAGUGGAACAGAGUAAGUAGGUAGAACCCUAUUCUAAGAGACCACUCAAGGUAGAAUGGCACAUUAACACCUCUGCAGUCAUAGGAUAAAAAGAGAGAGUUACUGGGUUAAAGGCUGAUGUAAUAAGCCAUAAAUCCAGUGUCUCUGUUCAGUACCUUUCCCAGACCUGAAGAAAUGCUCUGUGUGGCUCGAAAGCUCGUCUCUUUCACCAGCAGAAGUUGGUCCAAUAAAAGAUAUUACCUCCCCCA
rnacentral:lncRNA from 1 species